rnacentral:lncRNA from 1 species
CCAAAUAUUGUUUACUGCUAUAUAAAAAAAGGGUAACACGGAUUAUUUAGAUUAUAAUGAACUGUGAUAUGUAAUGUGAAAGGUGGAAUGCACAAAUUUAGUAAUAGGACCUGAAGCUAUUGAAUCACUGUUUGCAACUUCGUUAUAGGUUAACACAUGAUCAGGCCUUUCUUGGAUAUCUAGCAAUUGAGCUUCCAGUUGGUCAGUACUUUCACAAUAAUAUAUAACUGUGUAAUGUUGCUUUGCAUCAGCCAGCUGAGACUGAACCGGUCUAAUAUGAGCCAGAAAAAUCUUCUAUUUUAGUUCAGCAUGAAUCUUUUCUAAGGGAAGU